CCACCCUGCUUAGUGAAAAUUCAAGGAUUUUUCAUCUUGAUUCUUAACUUCCUGGCUAUUUGUGCUGCUCUAGGGUGAACUGGCCUCUUACUGCUAUCACACUGCUCAACCUUCACCCAGUUUAUAACCUUGAGCAUGAGAGAUUGUGAGAC